AGUGAACGCUGGCGGUAGGCCUAACACAUGCAAGUCGAACGGCAGCACAGUAAGAGCUUGCUCUUACGGGUGGCGAGUGGCGGACGGGUGAGGUAUACAUCGGAAUCUACUUUUUCGUGGGGGAUAACGUAGGGAAACUUACGCUCAUACCGCAUACGACCUACGGGUGAAAGCAGGGGAUCUUCGGACCUUGCGCGAUUGAAUGAGCCGAUGUCGGAUUAGCUAGUUGGCGGGGUAAAGGCCCACCAAGGCGACGAUCCGUAGCUGGUCUGAGAGGAUGAUCAGCCACACUGGAACUGAGACACGGUCCAGACUCCUACGGGAGGCAGCAGUGGGGAAUAUUGGACAAUGGGCGAAAGCCUGAUCCAGCCAUACCGCGUGGGUGAAGAAGGCCUUCGGGUUGUAAAGCCCUUUUGUUGGGAAAGAAAAGCAGCAGGUUAAUACCCCGCUGUUCUGACGGUACCCAAAGAAUAAGCACCGGCUAACUUCGUG
rnacentral:rRNA from 1 species